AUCCACAGUGCAUCUGUGGAACUUGAGAAAACUUUACCACAAGACAGCACAAAGCCAACCAGGGUCCCUGAUUAAAAGUGAUUUCUUCUUUAAUUGAAAUGAUCUCUAUGAACAGCUGCCAGAGGAGCUUCUGAAGAGGGAAGUGCUACGAAGAGAGUUGGAAUAAGAACUAGAGGACAGAAGACUUGGUAAUGGAGUUCCUGGAAAUUGGAGAUAAUAAACUUUUCCCAACAGAAGGAUUUUUCCAGUUUCACCAUUGAAAGCUCAGUAUCCUGAGACACACUCAGUUUUCAGCAAGUGAGAAGGCUGCUCACUACACUUCCAAGAUGUGUUGGAACAUCCACCGUCCUUUCUCUGGGUCUUUGUGCUUGUUAGUCAUUCUAUGUAAAUUGCUGUUUCCCCAUACCUCUGUGUGAUAUGUGUUCUCACCUUUUAACUCUGCUCAAAUGUCAUUCUUUCCUUACCAGUCCACCUUAGAAUAGCCUUGAUGCCUAGCAUUUGUAUCUCCAAAAUCUAUCCUUGUCCUUUUUUUGACACCUAUUAUUAUCUUCAAUCGUGCUCUGUUUUAAAGUUUACUUG
rnacentral:lncRNA from 1 species